rnacentral:rRNA from 1 species
AAUGAACGUUGGCGGCGUGGAUUAGGCAUGCGAGUCGCGCGAGAAUGUAGCAAUACAGGAAAGCGGCGAAAGGGAGAGGACAACAUGGGAAUCUGCCCUGGGGCGAGGAUAGCGUCGGGAAACUGACGGUAAUACUCGAUAAUGUCUGCGGACCAAAGGUGUGAUUCCGCCCCAGGAUGUGCCCAUGUCCCAUUAGCUAGUUGGCGGUGUAAUGGACCACCAAGGCGAUGAUGGGUAGCUGGUGUGAGAGCACGACCAGCCUCACUGGCACUGAGACACUGGCCAGACACCUACGGGUGGCUGCAGUCGAGAAUCUUCGGCAAUGGACGAAAGUCUGACCGAGCGACGCCGCGUGUGGGAUGAAGGUCUUCGGAUUGUAAACCACUGUCGAGGGGAAUCAAAUGCAGGAGGGUCCUCCCUCUUGUUUGAGAGAACCCUGGAGGAAGGGAGGCUAAGCUCGUGCCAGCAGCCGCGGUAAAG